AUGGUGUGGAAAGCACCUAUCCCGCUAAAGAUUAAGAUUUUCCUUUGGCAACUAUUUCAAAAUGCCAUCCUUACCCGUGAUAACAUGCGUGCCAGAAAUUGGCCUGAAAAUCCCAUUUGCUCCUUCUGUACUAAUGUUGAAAAUGCAAACCAUUUGUUUUUCUCGUGCUCGCUCGCUCGUUCAGUUUGGGGGACGCUGGGCAUGACAGCAGGGGCAUCUUGCUGCCCUCGCUCCCUUUGGCAAAGUUUUUCUUGGCUUUAUAAAUUCUUUCCGGGUGGGAAGCAUUUAUAUAUGAUGAUAAUUGCUGCGAUAUGUUGGGGGAUUUGGAUUCUCCGUAAUAAAGUUACGUUUGAUAAGCAUGUCGUUCCAUCCCCUCUGGUUUGCUGA
rnacentral:rRNA from 1 species